GCACAAGCGGUGGAGCAUGUGGUUCAAUUCGACGCAACGCGCAGAACCUUACCUGGGUUAAAUCCGCCAGAAUCCCGCAGAGAUGUAGGAGUGCUCGCAAGAGAGCUGGUGAGAAGGUGCUGCAUGGCUGUCGUCAGCUCGCGCCGUGAGGUGUUGGGUUAAGUCCCGCAACGAGCGCAACCCUCGCUGCCAGUUACCAUGUCUGGCGGGACCGCCGGGUCCAACCCGGAGGAAGGUGGGGAUGAUGUCAAGUCAGCACGGCUCUUACGUCCAGGGCUACACACACGCUACAAUGGCCGGUAUAACGCGCGGCGAUGGGGCGACCCGGAGCGAAUCGCAGCAAAGCCGGUCUCAGUUGGGAUUGCAGGCUGCAACUCGCCUGCAUGAACGCGGAGUUGCUAGUAACCGCAGGUCAGCACACUGCGGUGAAUACGUUCCCGGGC
rnacentral:rRNA from 1 species